CACUAGAUGGCUGAAAGUAAGUAAUGGUCUCUUAAACCAAUUUAUAGUAAAUUAACAUCUACUUC
rnacentral:tRNA from 1 species